rnacentral:rRNA from 1 species
GACCUACAGCUAAGGUCCCAAAAUGUAAGUUAAGUGGAAAAGGAUGUGGAGCUGCAUAAACAGCUAGGAUGUUGGCUUAGAAGCAGCCACUCAUUUAAAGAGUGCGUAACAGCUCACUAGUCGAGUGGCUCUGCGCCGAAGAUAAACGGGGCUAAAACUUACUACCGAAGCUUAGGAUACCGCAAGGUAUGGUAGAGGAGCAUUCAUUACGGGCAGAAGCCGGAUCGUAAGGUUUGGUGGACUGUAAUGAAGAGAGAAUGUUGGCAUGAGUAGCGAAAGGCAGGUGAGAAUCCUGCCCACCGAAAAUCUAAGGUUUCCUGAGGAAGGUUCGUCCACUCAGGGUUAGUCGGGGCCUAAGCCAAGGACGAGAGUCGUAGGCGAUGGACAACUGGUUGAGAUUCCAGUACCACCGAAAGUCGUAUGAGCGAAGUGGGGACACAGAAGGAUAAGCAGAGCACGCCGCUGGUAGAGCGUGUCCAAGCAGUGAGGCUGAUAUGUAGGCAAAUCCGCAUAUCGAAAGGCUGGGCUGUGAUGGGGAGGGAAAAGAAGUACCGGAAGCUGCUGAUUUCACACUGUCAAGAAAAGCCGCUAGCGAGACCGUAGGUGCCCGUACCGCAAACCGACACAGGUAGAUGAGGAGAGAAUCCUAAGGUGAGCGAGAGAACUAUUGUUAAGGAACUCGGCAAAAUGACCCCGUAACUUCGGGAGAAGGGGUGCCAUCGAAAGAUGGCCGCAGUGAAAAGGCCCAGGCGACUGUUUAGCAAAAACACAGGUCUCUGCUAAAGCGAAAGCUGAAGUAUAGGGGCUGACGCCUGCCCGGUGCUGGAAGGUUAAGGGGACUGCUUAGAGCAAUCGAAGGCAUGAACUUAAGCCCCAGUAAACGGCGGCCGUAACUAUAACGGUCCUAAGGUAGCGAAAUUCCUUGUCAGGUAAGUUCUGACCCGCACGAAAGGCGUAACGAUCUGGGCGCUGUCUCAACAAUAGACUCGGUGAAAUUGUAGUACCGGUAAAGAUGCCGGUUACCCGCAGCAGGACGGAAAGACCCCGUGGAGCUUUACUGCAGCUUGAUAUUGGAUUUCGGCAUUGCAUGUACAGGAUAGGUGGGAGACUAAGAGGCAAGUACGCCAGUAUUUGCGGAGUCACCGUUGGGAUACCACCCUUGUAAUGUUGAGGUUCUAACCAUGUAGCGUGAACCGGUACUGGGACAGUGUCUGGCGGGCAGUUUGACUGGGGCGGUCGCCUCCUAAAGAGUAACGGAGGCGCCCAAAGGUUCCCUCAGUGCGGACGGAAAUCGCACGAAGAGUGUAAAGGCAGAAGGGAGCUUGACUGCGAGACAAACAGGUCAAGCAGGGACGAAAGUCGGGCUUAGUGAUCCGGUGGUACCGAGUGGAAGGGCCAUCGCUCAACGGAUAAAAGCUACCCCGGGGAUAACAGGCUGAUACCCCCCAAGAGUCCACAUCGACGGGGGUGUUUGGCACCUCGAUGUCGGCUCGUCUCAUCCUGGGGCUGAAGUAGGUCCCAAGGGUUGGGCUGUUCGCCCAUUAAAGAGGUACGCGAGCUGGGUUCAGAACGUCGUGAGACAGUUCGGUCCCUAUCCGCUGUGGGCGUUGGAGAUUUGAGUGGAGCUGUUCUUAGUACGAGAGGACCGGGAUGGACAUACCUCUGGUGCACCAGUUGUUCUGCCAAGGGCAUAGCUGGGUAGCCACGUAUGGAAGGGAUAAGUGCUGAAAGCAUCUAAGUACGAAGCCCCCCACAAGACAAGAUCUCCUCCUUAAAGGUAAGACCCGUGAGAGACUAUCACGUUGAUAGGUCGGAGGUGGAAGUGCAGUAAUGUAUGGAGCUGACCGAUACUAAUAGGUCGAAAACUUGACCAA